rnacentral:rRNA from 1 species
CACGUAGGGCGCGAGCGUUGUCCGGAUUUAUUGGGCGUAAAGAGCUCGUAGGCGGCUCAUUGCGUCAACCGUGAAAACCAGCAGCUCAACUGUUGGCUUGCGGUUGAUACGGGUGGGCUGGAGUUCGGUAGGGGAGACUGGAAUUCCUGGUGUAGCGGUGGAAUGCGCAGAUAUCAGGAGGAACACCGGUGGCGAAGGCGGGUCUCUGGGCAGUAACUGACGCUGAGAAGCGAAAGCGUGGGGAGCGAACAGG